rnacentral:lncRNA from 1 species
UGCUGCCACGUGCUCCUCCAGAAACUAUCAAAGCUGAGCACCGCCAUCUGAUCUCGAAGUUGGGUUCUCCCUCAUGAAAAUCUCAUUCUGAAGAAUCGUUAUGGUGACCUCAUUUAUCUUGAUGGUGCUCUUCUCCACUAGAAGAGCAAUCACCAAGAACUCAUAUGAGGAGAGAAGCGAUGCUAGCAAGAUCAACAUUCUGAUCUUCUCCUUAAUUUUUUCAUCUACACUGA